CCCUACGGGGUGCCCAGGCCCUCGGCGUCGUCGGCGGCGUGUUCCUUGCGGUUUUUGGUGGUGACGUGCUUGGAGCCAAAAAGGCCGGAUAAGAGACUGACGGCACCAACGACCAAACCGAUCGGACCGGCGAGGCUAACAAAGGCCGUCCCGAGCGCUCCGGCAAAAGCGCCAAUGGAUGAAAAUGAGGUUGUAAGGGCCGCCGUUGCGGUUCCGAGUGCGCCAAACGAAUCGCUUAUAGCCUCGAUCCCCAAAAGCUCUGAAAUUCCGUUAACGUCAUAACCCUGUAGAAGGUUAGAGAUACUUCCGGUAAGGCCAUUGCUGUUAAUCAGGGCACUGGUCAGACUACCCCCGCUUCCCCCGGUUAGACUGCUGAUUGCGCUGGCGGUGGAAUUGGCGGGGGAGC
rnacentral:rRNA from 1 species